rnacentral:misc_RNA from 1 species
CGAAAUGCGAUAAGUAAUGUGAAUUGCAGAAUUCAGUGAAUCAUCGAAUCUUUGAACGCACCUUGCGCUCCUUGGUAUUCCUUGGAGCAUGCCUGUUUGAGUAUCAUGAAAUCUUCAAAGUAAAUCUUUUGUUAACUCAAUUGGUUUCUACUUUGGUAUUGGAGGUCUUUGCGGCUUCACACCUGCUCCUCUUUGUUCAUUAGCUGGAUCUCAGUGUUAUGCUUGGUUCCACUCGGCGUGAUAAGUUAUCUAUCGCUGAGGACACUGUAAAAGGUGGCCAAGGUAAAUGCAGAUGAACCGCUUCUAAUAGUCCAUUGACUUGGACAAUACUUUUAUGAUCUGAUCUCAAAUCAGGUAGGACUACCCGCUGAACUUAAGC